rnacentral:rRNA from 1 species
UACGGAGGGGGGCUAGCGUUGUUCGGAAUUACUGGGCGUAAAGCGUGCGCAGGCGGUUUUGUAAGCCAGAUGUGAAAUCCCCGGGCUUAACCUGGGAAUGGCAUUUGGGACUGCAAGGCUUGAGUUUGGCAGAGGAGACUGGAAUUCCUGGUGUAGCAGUGAAAUGCGUAGAUAUCAGGAGGAAUACCGAUGGCGAAGGCGGGACUCUGGGCCGAUACUGACGCUGAGGAGCGAAAGCGUGGGGAGCAAACAGG